rnacentral:rRNA from 1 species
AGUGAACACUGGCGGUAGGCCUAACACAUGCAAGUCGAACGGCAGCACAGGAGAGCUUGCUCUCUGGGUGGCGAGUGGCGGACGGGUGAGGAAUACAUCGGAAUCUACUCUGUCGUGGGGGAUAACGUAGGGAAACUUACGCUAAUACCGCAUACGACCUACGGGUGAAAGCAGGGGACCUUCGGGCCUUGCGCGAUUGAAUGAGCCGAUGUCGGAUUAGCUAGUUGGCGGGGUAGAGGCCCACCAAGGCGACGAUCCGUAGCUGGUCUGAGAGGAUGAUCAGCCACACUGGAACUGAGACACGGUCCAGACUCCUACGGGAGGCAGCAGUGGGGAAUAUUGGACAAUGGGCGCAAGCCUGAUCCAGCCAUACCGCGUGGGUGAAGAAGGCCUUCGGGUUGUAAAGCCCUUUUGUUGGGAAAGAAAUCCAGCUGGCUAAUACCCGGUUGGGAUGACGGUACCCAAAGAAUAAGCACCGGCUAACUUCGUGCCAGCAGCCGCGGUAA